UUUACAAACACUGCACACAAUACAAUAGCACCUGGUGUUCGCCAUGUGCUCAAAAAUCAUUCAUCGACCUUCCCAGUAGUCUCCCAGAAUGUUUGCCUUGCAAUGCGUGUCAUCCAGAUUUAGGGUUAAGAACAGUCAGGGAGUGCACUCCCACCUCUGACACAGUGUGUGGGCCUCUGGAUCAGCACUACUGCACUGAGACACAUAAGAAGGGCUGCAGAUUUGCACAGAGACACACCAUCUGCAGGCCUGGGCAAUUCAUCAAACGCAAUGGAACAACACUGACUAAUACUGAAUGCGGAGAAUGUCCUGACAGAACAUUUUCAGAAAAUUAUUUUUCUGCAUUCUGCAAACCACACACAGAUUGCCAAUCCUUGGUACUUCAGGAAAUUACAGCUGGAACAAACACAUCAGACAGUGAAUGUGGACCAAGAAAUUAUCCUCGUUCCAGAGUUGCUGGGCUUGUGCCUGCGGUGAUUGUAGUACUUCUAUUAAC